rnacentral:rRNA from 1 species
AUUAGUGGCGACGGGUGAGUAACACGUGAGCAACCUGCCCUUGACUCUGGGAUAAGCCUGGGAAGCUGGGUCUAAUACCGGAUAUUCGCCUCCUGCCGCAUGGUGGGGGGUGGAAAGCCUUGUGCGGUCUUGGAUGGGCUCGCGGCCUAUCAGCUCGUUGGUGGGGUGAUGGCCUACCAAGGCGACGACGGGUAGCCGGCCUGAGAGGGUGACCGGCCACACUGGGACUGAGACACGGCCCAGACUCCUACGGGAGGCAGCAGUGGGGAAUAUUGCACAAUGGGCGCAAGCCUGAUGCAGCGACGCCGCGUGGGGGAUGACGGCCUUCGGGUUGUAAACCCCUUUCGGCGGGGAACAAGCCGCUUUCGGGUGGUGAGGGUACCCGCGGAAGAAGCGCCGGCUAACUACGUGCCAGCAGCCGCGGUAAUACGUAGGGCGCGAGCGUUAUCCGGAAUUAUUGGGCGUAAAGAGCUCGUAGGCGGUUUGUCGCGUCUGCUGUGAAAGCCCGGGGCUCAACCCCGGGUCUGCAGUGGGUACGGGCAGGCUGGAGUGCAGUAGGGGAGACUGGAAUUCCUGGUGUAGCGGUGAAAUGCGCAGAUAUCAGGAGGAACACCGAUGGCGAAGGCAGGUCUCUGGGCUGUAACUGACGCUGAGGAGCGAAAGCGUGGGGAGCGAACAGGAUUAGAUACCCUGGUAGUCCACGCCGUAAACGUUGGGCACUAGGUGUGGGGGGCAUUCCACGUCCUCCGCGCCGCAGCUAACGCAUUAAGUGCCCCGCCUGG